rnacentral:rRNA from 1 species
GAUGAACGCUGGCGGCGUGCCUAAUACAUGCAAGUCGAGCGAAUGGAUUAAGAGCUUGCUCUUAUGAAGUUAGCGGCGGACGGGUGAGUAACACGUGGGUAACCUGCCCAUAAGACUGGGAUAACUCCGGGAAACCGGGGCUAAUACCGGAUAACAUUUUGAACCGCAUGGUUCGAAAUUGAAAGGCGGCUUCGGCUGUCGCUUAUGGAUGGACCCGCGUCGCAUUGGCUAGUUGGUGAGGUAACGGCUCACCAAGGCAACGAUGAGUAGCCGACCUGAGAGGGUGAUCGGCCACACUGGGACUGAGACACGGCCCAGACUCCUACGGGAGGCAGCAGUAGGGAAUCUUCCGCAAUGGACGAAAGUCUGACGGAGCAACGCCGCGUGAGUGACGAAGGCUUUCGGGUCGUAAAACUCUGUUGUUAGGGAAGAACAAGUGCUAGUUGAAUAAGCUGGCACCUUGACGGUACCUAACCAGAAAGCCACGGCUAACUACGUGCCAGCAGCCGCGGUAA